GAUGAACGCUGGCGGCGUGCCUAACACAUGCAAGUCGAACGAUGAAGCCCAGCUUGUUGGCUGGAGUCGUGGCGAACGGGUGAGUAACACGCGAGUAACCUGCCCUUCUCUCUGGGAUAAGUCUGUGAAACUGGGUCUAACACCGGACAGGAGCUUUCACCGCAUGGUGGGUGUUGGAGAGAUAUAUCGGUUUUGGAUGGAUUCGAGGCUUAUCGGCUUGUUGGUGAGGUAUGGGCUCACCAAGGGCACGACGGGUAGCCGGCCUGGGAAGGUCGCCGGCCACCCUGGGCCUGAGAGAGGGCCCAGACGCGAACGGGAGGCAACGGUGGAGAGUCUUGCACAGUAGGCGCGAGCCAGGUGUGGCGACGCCGCGUGAGGGAAGACUGCCUUCGGGUUGUGAACCAAUUUCAGUAGAGAAGAAGCGAUAGUGACGGUACCUGCAGAAGAAGCACCGGCUAACUACGUG
rnacentral:rRNA from 1 species